UCUCUGGUGGUCUAAUGGUUAUGACUCUGAGCUCUCAAAGCAGGAGGCCUAGGUUCCAUCCCUGGUCAGGGAA
rnacentral:tRNA from 1 species